GACGGGGGAUGCAAGUGUUAUCCGGAAUCACUGGGCGUAAAGCGUCUGUAGGUGGUCAAAUAAGUCAACUGUUAAAUCUUGAGGCUCAACCUCAAAAUCGCAGUCGAAACUAUUAGACUAGAGUAUAGUAGGGGUAAGGGGAAGUUUCCAGUGGAGCGGUGAAAUGCGUAGAUAUUGGAAAGAACACCGAUGGCGAAGGCACUUUACUGGGCUAUUACUAACACUCAGAGACGAAAGCUAGGGUAGCAAAUGGG
rnacentral:rRNA from 1 species